CACUCAGUGCAUAUAAGAGAAUAGAAGAUGAUCCUUACAGUAGAUGAUCUGAAUUUAAGGCUGUUUCAGAAGCCUCAUGACAGGCACUGAUGAUCUUUUGAUUGAUUGUCAGUGGACACAUGAAUGUGCAGCUAGAGAGAAUGAAAGAGAGGCCAUGGUAGAUUUGAAUCAGAGCCGUCCGUCACUCCACCCAGCCCCGAGAGACCAGAGCGUUCGCUCUCCAUAAGCCCGAGCUGCCGUUGUUACAUAACCACUGUGAAAGUACUGGAGCCGCUCCGGAUGGACUCACCCAUACCAGUGUGUCCGGACACAGAGAGAGAGAGAGAUAAUGACAUCAUCAGCAUGAGACGACUGCAUUCAGUUCACUAUAAAACUGCACCAAAUGAAAA